GUGCUGGGGAGAAGCUGAGUGGGAGCAGAUGGUGUGAGCUUGCAGGCCAGAAGAAGUGUGUCAGAGGUCUGUAGGUGUCUGCAGCGGUGUGCAAGCAUCUGUAGAAGUCUGCCCAGAGAUCUUAUUUGCUUUACCCAAAAUCAAGUUGGAGAGAUGUGUGGAGCCUCAGCCACAGACCCUGACUGUUGGGGGGAUGCUUUCAUGGCAGAAAGCGGAGCUGUUUGAAACCCAGUUCCUCCUUGCAAGUGGUUAAGAAUUGGAUUCCCUUUGGAAAAUGGGGACAGAGACAUCUCUCUGAGAAUGAAGAUUAUGGAGGGAAAAGUGAGGUGACUUCAGAGCAGAGAAGUGAUGUUGCAGAGGAAAAAGUUGAACAGGUCUAUUGGGAAUAAAACAAACUCUGGAGGAAAAAUCUGAGGUAAACAAGAGGACACAGGUGACAUUUUCUAUUCAAAAAAGUGAACAAGUCUCUAGGGGAUAAAAAUGAAGAUUGUAGGAGGAAAAAGCUGAGGUGAUUAGGUGGGACAGAGCCGACAUUGUGAAUGGAAAAAGUAAUGCAAUCCAUAGGGGAGAAAAGGAGCAUUUUUGAAGGAAACCAGGCCCUAUGCCUCUGAAACCCUGGGGCCAGACAUACCCACAGUGAUUACAGGGCAGUUCCCUCCUUGAACCUCCUGCCAGGUGAUGCAACACAGAGCCCUACUUACAGGGUGGCUGCUCUCACAUCAGCACUCCCAAAAACAACUACAAAGCACCAGCCCCUAGGCUCCUGUACUCAGGGGUUGUCGCAGCUUUU